UACAGAGGGUGCGAGCGUUGUUCGGAAUUAUUGGGCGUAAAGGGCGCGUAGGCGGUGCCACAAGUCACUUGUGAAAUCCCCAGGCUUAACCUGGGGCCUGCAGGCGAAACUGUGGUGCUGGAGUGUGGGAGAGGUGCGUGGAAUUCCCGGUGUAACGGUGAAAUGCGUAGAGAUGUGGAGGAACACCAGUGGCGAAGGCGACUCUUUGGCCUGUAACUGACACUGAGGCGCGAAAGCGUGGGGAGCAAACAGG
rnacentral:rRNA from 1 species